rnacentral:rRNA from 1 species
GAACGCUAGCGGCAUGCCUUACGACAUGGCAAGUCGAACGGCAAGGCACGGGGGCAACCCUGGUGGCGAGUGGCGAACGGGUGAGUAAUGCAUCGGAACGUGCCCAUCGAUGGGGGAUAACUGCGCGAAAGCGUUGCUAAUACCGCAUACGACCUACGGGUGAAAGCAGGGGACCGCAAGGCCUUGCGUCGAUGGAGCGGCCGAUGCCGGAUUAGGCUAGUUGGUGAGGUAAAGGCUCACCAAGGCGACGAUCCCGUAGCUGGUCUGAGAGGACGACCAGCCACACUGGGACUGAGACACGGCCCAGACUCCUACGGGAGGCAGCAGUGGGGAAUCUUGGACAAUGGGCGAAAGCCUGAUCCAGCAAUGCCGCGUGUGGGAAGAAGGCCCUCGGGUUGUAAACCACUUUUGGCGGGAAAGAAAUGGUCUGUGCUAAUACCACGGAUUGAUGACGGUACCCGCAGAAUAAGCACCGGCUAACUACGUG